rnacentral:rRNA from 1 species
UACGUAGGGUGCAAGCGUUAAUCGGAAUUACUGGGCGUAAAGCGUGACGCAGGCGGUUAUGUAAGACAGAUGUGAAAUGCCCGGGCUUAACCUGGGAACUGCAUUUGUGACUGCAUGGCUAGAGUUUGGCAGAGGGGGGUAGAAUUCCACGUGUAGCAGUGAAAUGCGUAGAUAUGUGGAGGAACACCGAUGGCGAAGGCAGCCCCCUGGGUCAAGACUGACGCUCAUGCACGAAAGCGUGGGGAGCAAACGAGGAU